rnacentral:rRNA from 1 species
GGGCUCCUGUAGGCCACACCCUGAACGCACCUUAUCUUGUCCGAUCUUGAAAGCUAAGUGGGGCGGGGCCUGGUUAGUACUUGGAUUGGAGGAAAGUAGAGGGCUCAAUAAACAGGAAAAGAGCCCA